AAUAAUAAUAAUGCGCGAUGAUCUAUAUAAUCGAUGGAUUCGUACGUGGUCUACACGAUAUUCAAGCGUAGUCAACACGGUCGAUUUUCGUCGACCUUGUUUUCAUUGUUCGACCGUUUACUCUGUUUACCUCCGAAACGUAAACAGAAUCGGGUGAGUCGAGUGACCGAGAAUCUUCAGUUUCCAGUGAGCGUUAGGCCUAGGUGGAAGUUGCGUUGUAAGUUAUAAUAGCGAAAAUCGAGUGACGCCGUUGAGCGAUUUUUGUGCCCGGAAAGGACGCUGCGGUCCAGCUGGUGCAGCGGUGCAACGAUUCGGCUUCGGACUCAGGGGGAAACGGUCUUCGACACUUUUUUUCUCAGAUCGUCGCUGCAACUGGCUCCUCAGGUGGAUCAAUUCCCACAGGAAAUGGGACUCCAUGUCCUUGGCGGAGCUCGCGCGGACCUGGACUUCGGUUACAGAUUUUUCUCUCAUUCACGGAGCGGGAGCGGAGUGCGAAGAGGUCGACCUAGAUUUUGCGAAACAAGAGUGCAGAAAUUGACAAUUGACUUAUGGGGGAUGCAUUGUGCGGCUGGUGAGUGUUCUAUUUUUUUUUCUUCUCUCCACUUGUUUCGUUGAUUACGUGCAGGGUGGGGUACGGUAGUACGUAU